rnacentral:lncRNA from 1 species
AGCCGAAGCCUUGGAGCCGAAGGCAAAGGAGCCCUGAAGCUCCAAGAGGAAGGAGGGACUACCAGGGGGAGGUACUGCCCGACUGCAACCGGCCAAGGUAAGGAGCAUUAGGGUAAGGGUUUAACAGGGGUAAAGAAAUUCCACUGUGAGGUGCUCUUCCCCUCUGUGUCAACAGUGAAACAGAGGGGAGGAAACCGACACAGGGGAGGG